UACAGAGACUGCGAGCGUUAUUCGGAUUCACUGGGCGUAAAGGGUGCGCAGGCGGCCGUGUGUGUUGGGCGUGAAAGCCCGGGGCUUAACCCCGGAAUUGCACUCAAAACUACAUGGCUAGAGCAUUGGAGAGGGUAGCAGAAUUCAUGGUGUAGCAGUGAAAUGCGUAGAUAUCAUGAGGAAUACCAGAGGCGAAGGCGGCUACCUGGACAAUUGCUGACGCUCAGGCACGAAAGCGUGGGGAGCAAAAGGG
rnacentral:rRNA from 1 species